GAGUUUGAUCAUGGCUCAAAACGAACGCUGGCGGCAUGCCUCAUACAUGCAAGUCGAACGAGGUCUUCGGACCUAGUGGCGCACGGGUGAGUAACAUGUGGGAAUCUACCUGAAGGUUCGGAAUAACUGCGGGAAACUGUAGCUAAUACCGGAUGUGUCUGCAAAGAGAAAGAUUUAUCGCCUUCAGAUGAGACCGCACUAGAUUAGCUAGUUGGUGAGGUAAUUGCUCCACCAAGGCUCCGAUCUAUAGCUGAUUUGAGAGGAUGAUCAGCCACACUGGGACUGAGACACGGCCCAGACUCCUACGGGAGGCAGCAGUAGGGAAUAUUGGACAAUGGGGGAAACCCUGAUCCAGCAAUGCCGCGUGAGUGAAGAAGGCCUUCGGGUUGUAAAGCUCUUUCAUCAAUGAUGAUAAUGACAUUAGUUGAAGAAGAAGCCCCGGCUAACUUCGUGCCAGCAGCCGCGGUAAUACGAAGGGGGCUAGCGUUGUUCGGAAUCACUGGGCGUAAAGCGUAUGUAGGCGGAUCAAAAAGUUAGAUGUGAAAUCCCUGGGCUCAACCCAGGAACUGCAUUUAAAACUAGUGAUCUAGAAUUUGGUAGGGGUUAGUAGAAUUUCCAGUGUAGAGGUGAAAUUCGUAGAUAUUGGAAAGAAUACCAGUGGCGAAGGCGACUAACUGGGCCAUUUUUGACGCUGAGAUACGAAAGCGUGGGUAGCAAACAGGAUUAGAUACCCUGGUAGUCCACGCAGUAAACGAUGAGUGCUAGUCGCUGGGACAUUAGUUUCAGUGUCGAAGCUAACGCAUUAAGCACUCCGCCUGGGAAGUACGGUCGCAAGAUUAAAACUCAAAUAAAUUGACGGGGGCCCGCACAAGCGGUGGAGCAUGUGGUUUAAUUCGAAGCAACGCGAAGAACCUUACCAGACCUUGACAUGGUAUGUUUGAAUUACAGAAUCGUAAUUCUUCAGUUCGGCUGGCAUACACACAGGUGCUGCACGGCUGUCGUCAGCUCGUGUCGUGAGAUGUUGGGUUAAGUCCCGCAACGAGCGCAACCCUCAUUUUUAGUUGCCAUCAGGUUAAGCUGGGCACUCUAAAAAAACUGCCGGUGAUAAGCUGGAGGAAGGCGGGGAUGACGUCAAGUCCUCAUGGCCCUUACGGUCUGGGCUACACACGUGCUACAAUGGUGGUGACAGUGGGCAGCAAUACUGCAAAGUAAAGCUAAUCCCAAAAAACCAUCUCAGUUCGGAUUGGACUCUGCAACUCGAGUCCAUGAAGUUGGAAUCGCUAGUAAUCGUAGAUCAGCGUGCUACGGUGAAUACGUUCUCGGGCCUUGUACACACCGCCCGUCACGCCAUGGGAGUUGGUUUUACCUUAAGCCGGUGCGCUAACCGUAAGGAAGCAGCCGUCCACGGUAGGGUCAGCGACUGGGGCGAAGUCGUAACAAGGUAACC
rnacentral:rRNA from 1 species